UCCACCGGGAGCUCCUGGGGAGAAUUUUUUUUUUUUUUUUAAACUGGAGUUAGUUCUCUAAACCCUCUGUUCGCCGUGAGGCGUACCUCGUCACCGCUGUUCCCACCUUCAUAACACCCCCCUCUCCUGCUCUCUCACACUGUCCCUCAGUGUUAAGAGGGCAUGACGAGGACAGGUGCCCAAGAGAAGCUGCAGGACUGGGAGGGGAGGAGUUACUAACCGUGAGGUGCUGGCCAUCAUCCCCAAGUUCAGGGCUGACUGACUGUGGGCGGUUUGCACAGCAGGUGUUCACUCUCCAGGCCUCCUUGCUUGGGCGGUGAAUGCGGAGCCUCUCACUCUGUAGUUUGCAUAAAGCUGUCACCUCCUGGGCCGCCUGGGCUCAGAGGAACACCAUGGAGCUCUUAGCCCACCCCACCCCACCCGGCUCAGCUGCAGAGCUGGGCAGUUUUCCUACAAAAAAACUGACUCAGGCGGCGGUGACUCCUUAGUCCCGGAGAUACAGUUGGCCCUUUAACAUACGGUUUGAGCAGCAUUGGUCCACUUAUGCACAGACUUCUUUUCAAUAAAUACUACUGUAAAUGUAUUUCUGUUACGAGUUUCUCAAUAAUCUCUUCUCUAGAUUACUGAAAUAACACAGUGUGUAAUACAUAAAACAUACAAAUGUGCGUGUUCAUCAGUGUGUGUGGUUGGUAAGGCUUCUGAUCAAGAGGAGGCUGUAUGUAGCUACGUGUUGGGAGAGAAGUUACUUGUGGAUGUUCAGUGGCGUGGAGAUUGGCACCCUUCACCUCUGUGUUGUUCAAGGGUCAACUGUAUGAUAAAAUAAUUCCUCGCCAGAAGCGGUUCAGCUCAUGGGGACUCCGGGGAAAGCAAGGGAGUGAAGGCACCUGGGAUCUGACCGUGUAGGUUUGCCUGACUGCUUAGAACUGUGAAGAAUUCACUCACCUGACAGACAUGCCUAAGCAGGCACUUCUCUGAGGCAGGGUGCCUGGAGGCGAUCCAAAUCAUGAACAGGGGACUCCGGUGUGCUGCUUUCCCUCUGUCUAUAAGUCUGCAAGAGGGAGUGAGUGAG